AUUCUACUCCCUCCGUUGCACAAUACAUGCCUUCUAUUUGUCAAAAUAUAUAUGUAUCUAGACAUGUUUUAGUAUAUAGGUACAUCCAUUUUUGGACAAAUGGAAGUCAAGUAUUUUGGAACGGUGGGAGUACAUA
rnacentral:pre_miRNA from 1 species